CCUAGCUAGGCCGUAGACGGUUCCCGAGAGGGAUCAAAAGGGAACGCGGUGAGGGCCUUGGCCCGACCCCGCGGCUGCCCCCGCAACUGUGAGCGGAGAGUCCCCCAUCACCACGUCACUGGGCGCCUCGCCUGGGAAGACGAUGAGGGACGGCGACCCGCGAGCCAGGAGACCUGCCGUCGGCCGUGGUCACAC
rnacentral:ncRNA from 2 species